rnacentral:rRNA from 1 species
GACGAACGCUGGCGGCGUGCUUAACACAUGCAAGUCGAGCGGUAAGGCCCUUCGGGGUACGACGAGCGGCGAACGGGUGAGUAACACGUGGGUGACCUGCCCUCAGCUCUGGGAGUAAGCCUGGGAAACCGGGUCUAAUACUGGAUAUGACUCCAUGACGCAUGUUGUGGGGUGGAAAGCCUUGUGCGGCUGAGGAUGGGCCCGCGGCCUAUCAGCUUGUUGGUGGGGUGAUGGCCUACCAAGGCGACGACGGGUAGCCGGCCUGAGAGGGCGACCGGGCCACACUGGGACUGAGACACGGCCCAGACUCCUACGGGAGGCAGCAGUGGGGAAUCUUGCGCAAUGGGCGAAAGCCUGACGCAGCGACGCCGCGUGAGGGAUGACGGCCU